UACGUAGGGUGCGAGCGUUAAUCGGAAUUACUGGGCGUAAAGCGUGCGCAGGCGGUUCGUUGUGUCGGCGGUGAAAGCCCCGGGCUCAACCUGGGAAUGGCCGUUGAAACUGGCGAACUGGAGUGUGGCAGAGGGGGGUGGAAUUCCGCGUGUAGCAGUGAAAUGCGUAGAGAUGCGGAGGAACACCGAUGGCGAAGGCAGCCCCCUGGGCUAACACUGACGCUCAGGCACGAAAGCGUGGGGAGCAAACAAGG
rnacentral:rRNA from 1 species